GGGCGAGUGGCGGAAUGGCAGACGCGCCAGACUUAGGAUCUGGUGGAUAAAACCGUGGGGGUUCAAGUCCCUUCUCGCCCA
rnacentral:tRNA from 2 species